GAUAACUUUAUUUCAGAGACCUUCUCUAUCCAGUCUUAACUUAUCGUGCACUAACAGUUUUUAAAACUGCUUCAAGACAGCAUACGUUUCACAGAAAAACUUCGACUGUCUCUUUCGCAUUUGCGUUAGAGGCAUCAUGUUCCGCCGUGCGAUUUCUUUCAAUUAUUUUGCGUUAUUCAUUCUUCUUGCAGUUUUUCAAGUCACAUCGACGCAGAAGUUGCAGAGGGGAGAUACAGUGGAAACCGAACAGGCCACGACUGACAGGGACGCAACAUCUUCUAAGUCUGAUCAAACCGUCGGUACAGAGCAAAUACGAGUUGGUGAUUAUCACUACCUUUACGGCUAG